GAUGGCGGACCUGCCGGCACCACGGAUGCAGCUGCCCUGCUGCACCCGUGACGUCGGGGCACAGAGGAAGCGGCUAUUUCUACGCUCAGUGCUCAGAACAGUGGGCACUAAGAAUGGUUUGUAGCCGGACAGUA
ensembl:snoRNA